rnacentral:lncRNA from 1 species
AGUCACUUAAGACACCGUGUCCUCAAGAAGCUUACAGCCCAAUUGAGUUGGUAGGAAAACACACAGUAACCACAGUACCAGCUAGCAUAUACUAGAGGUAUACAGUCAGUGCAGAAAAAAGCAUACACAGAGUGCUAUGGAAGUCAAAAUAGAAACAUUAGCAUACGUUGGGCCAAGAGAGAUGUUGAGCCUCUUGAAAGCAGACUGCUUAUCCCUGCCUUUCUCUGGCACUGAGUGAGUAUCCUCUGAACCCUCAUUAUUCUCAACAGGUGAAGCACAAAUCCUCCUGGCAGAUGGGAAGAAUGCCACCUGUGCCAGCAAUGGCAACAACUUCAGAUACAAAGGAUCUGAAUGUCAGGAGGAAGUCACAGGAGCUGGAGUCUCACUUUUUCACCCAGGCUGAAGUGCAGUGGUGUGAUCUCGGCUCACUGCAACCUCCGUCUCCCGAGUUCAAGCGAUUCUCCUGCUUCAGCCUCCUGAGCAGCUGGGACUACAGGCAUGCACCACCAUGCCCAGCUUAUUUUUGUAUUUUUAGUAGAGAUGGGGUUUCACCAUAUUGGCCAGGCUGGUCUCGAAUCCUGACCUCGUGAUCCACCUGCCUCGGCCUCCCAAAAUGCUGGGAUCACACGCGUUAGCCACCGCACCCAGCCUUAUUUACCUAUUAAAGAG